UGCAAGACAGAAUUUACACACGAUGCAAAAUGUUCUGGAAGGCACUAUUGUUGUUUUGUAUAUGGUUCCUGAAAACAAAAAUAAGCCAUUUAAAACCAGUCAUGAGAGACUAAGAAAGAUAAGGUCUUCAAACUAGAACUAGAGUUAGCCCAAA